rnacentral:rRNA from 1 species
GUACCUGCAGAAGAAGCACCGGCUAACUACGUGCCAGCAGCCGCGGAUAAUACGUAGGGUGCAAGCGUUGUCCGGAUUUAUUGGGCGUAAAGAGCUCGUAGGCGGUUAGUCACGUCGGAUGUGAAAACCAGGUGCUUAACUCCAGGCCUGCAUUCGAUACGGGCUCACUAGAGUGUUGUAGGGGAGACUGGAACUCCUGGUGUAGCGGUGAAAUGCGCAGAUAUCAGGAAGAACACCGGUGGAGAAGGCGGGUCUCUGGGCAACUACUGACGCUGAGGAGCGAAAGCGUGCGGAGCAAACAGGAUUAGAUACCCUGGUAGUCCACGCCGUAAACGGUGGUCGCUAGGUGUGGGGAACAUUCCACGUUCUCCGUACCGCAGCUAACGCAUUAAGCGCCCCGCCUGGGGAGUACGGCCGCAAGGCCAAAACUCAAAGGAAUUGACGGGGGCCCGCACAAGCGGCGGAGCAUGGCGGCUUAAUUCGAUGCAACGCGAAGAACAUUACCUAGGCUUGACAGUUGGGGAAAUCUGGCAGAGAUGUCAGGUUCGCAAGGGCCCCAAA